UACGGAGGAUGCGAGCGUUAUCCGGAUUUAUUGGGUUUAAAGGGUGCGCAGGCGGCACGGCAAGCCGGCGGUCAAAUCGCGGGGCUCAACCCCGCCCAGCCGUCGGAACUGCCGGGCUAGAGUGGGCGAGAAGUGCGCGGAAUGCGUGGUGUAGCGGUGAAAUGCAUAGAUAUCACGCAGAACUCCGAUUGCGAAGGUAGCGCACCGGCGCCCUACUGACGCUCAGGCACGAAAGCGUGGGUAUCGAACAGG
rnacentral:rRNA from 1 species